GUUGGUGUUCAAGAAAAAUGAACUUCACAAAACAACUUCAGCAAUGUUGUUUAUUUAGGGAGUGGGAUAUUGGAAAAUGUUUGUCGAAUAAGUUUAGGAAGAUAUGUUCGACAUUGGUAGAAACGCUUUUACUAUACGGGGAGGAAUUUUGUGAUAAUCUGUCGUUGAUCGCUAUCAGAAUUUGCUUUAUUAUUUGCGGAGGAUGGUUAGAAUUAGUGUGAAUGUAACGUAGAUAUUCAUUUGGUUUUUUGAAAGGCUAUCAAUUUGAAAACAAGUUCUUGCUUGACAACCACGAGCCUAAAGAUUAAAAAACCAAACCACGCUUGCAAAUAGUAACAUUUUAUAAUUGUUUUUGAAUGCCACGAUGUUAUUAUAUGGUAUAUUUUUUAACCAAAAAAAAAUGUUUUUUUACCUGAUGAUUGCUAAA